rnacentral:rRNA from 1 species
AAUAUUCUAGUCUUAUCGGUGGAUCACUCGGCUCGUGGAUCGAUGAAGAACGCAGCCAACUGCGAUAAUUAGUGUGAACUGCAGAAACCUUGAACACAGAACUUUCGAAUGCACAUUGCGCCAUUGGAGUGACAUCCAUUGGCACGCCUGGUUCAGGGUCGUAA